GUAUUUGAAAUAUUAACAUUCUUUUACAUUUAAAAUUAAACAACCAGGACCAAACCAGAAUUAGACCUGAAUUGGAUCAAACCGUGUUUGACUAGAGUUUAACUUGAAAUUAUAAAAAACUGGAACCAAAACCACUUUAAAACCGGACUUAAAACUGGAAUUAGUUCAAAUCAGACCGUUCUGGUCUGGUUUCAGUUCAAACCGACGAAAGUUGACAGGAACUGGAUCGGUGGCCACCCCUAUUGAUUGCUUCUGCAUAAAAUCUCUUAUUGCCUUUAUCAUUGAAGAGCACUCAGGCAGCUCAGGAAAAAAAUAAAAUGUGUGCAUUGCAUUAGGAUACUCCACCAAAUACACUUCUUUUGUGGAUUUCCUCAACCCUUCAUAGUACCUUCUCUCCCAAUCUUGUAAAGGAUCAUAUCCUCCCACGAAAAUAAUUGUUUUCGGAAACUUGACUUUGGAAAUGUCAACCAAAUUAGGCCCGAAAACAUUUACCGUCCGAUGGUCUCGGUUGUCACCCUUUGGCAAGAAUGUCUUCCACAUCCAAUCUGUAAGUUCCGUCGUAAUAAGUGGAGCUCGUGUGAGCCUCAACUCAGAUUCUGUUCGUUCUUCUCCUCCAAAAAAUGGUUGGAUCAAUAUGUUUCCAAUCAGUUCUAUCCUAGAAAAUUCAUGUUCACUUGCUUUAAGUGCCACAUGAUGCGCCAAGUUACCUCCUGCACUAUCUCCUGCGAGAAAACAGUGUUUGAGAUUGGCUUGGCUUGAAAAACCUUCAAUUUGUGUGCAGUCAAUGAAUUUGAGAACAUGAAAACCAUCUUCGUAUUGGGUUGGACAACGAUGCUCUGGAGCUAGUCGAUAGUUGACGGAGAUAAUAAAAGCAGAGAGUUCACCAGCAAGUCGAUAGCAAAAGUCGUCGUAAAAUUUUGAAUUGGGUGCAAAGUAGGAAAAGCCACCACCAUGGAAGAAGAAAAUAACUGGCAAACCAGCACCAUUAGAAGCUGCACAUGGGGUAUUGUUGGCGGUGGUAGGGAUAUAAAGGCGGAACCAGAGGUUUUUUUUCUUCUCAACCACUAUAUCACUGGUUUUUACACCACCAUUGAUUGGUUUCUUGGAGGGAGAGGUUCUAAGGUCGAAGAAGCUCAUGAGAAAACGGUUGACGGUGCCAUCAGAACGACGACUGAUAUUAAAGGCGAAGGAAAGAACAAAUAAGAAGAGCUUAGCAUUCCAUGGGAGGUCCGGCCAUUGUUGGUUGUUUUCAGCCAUUUUGCUCUCUUGUAAAUAUAUAUAAAAUGCUUUGCGG
rnacentral:misc_RNA from 1 species